GGAGGAAAAGAAACCAACAGGGAUUGCCCUAGUAACGGCGAGUGAAGCGGCAACAGCUCAAAUUUGAAAGCUGGCUUAGGCCCGCAUUGUAAUUUGCAGAGGAUGCUUCUGGCGAGGUGCCUUCCGAGUUCCCUGGAACGGGACGCCAUAGAGGGUGAGAGCCCCGUAUGGAUGGACACCAAACCUGUGUGAAGCUCCUUCAACGAGUCGAGUAGUUUGGGAAUGCUGCUCUAAAUGGGAGGUAAAUCUCUUCUAAAGCUAAAUACCGGCCAGAGACCGAUAGCGCACAAGUAGAGUGAUCGAAAGAUGAAAAGCACCUUGAAAAGGGGGUUAAACAGUACGUGAAAUUGUUGAAAGGGAAGCGCUUGUGACCAGACUUGCGCCGGGCAGCUCAUCAGGGGUUCUCCCCUGUGCACUCUGCCCGGCUCAGGCCAGCAUCGGUUCUCGUGGGAGGAUAAGAACGGUAGGAACGUGGCCCCCCUCCGGGGGGGUGUUAUAGCCUACCGUACGAUACUCCCGUGGGGACCGAGGUUCGCGCUCCGCAAGGAUGCUGGCGUAAUGGUCAUCAGCGACCCGUCU
rnacentral:rRNA from 1 species